AGACCCCCCAGCCAGGUAUAUAUGCGGCUGGGGGGAGAAGGGGGGGUAAGCAAUAUCUUCCAGAGCACUCUCUUGCUUGCGAUUAUCAUCUCUCCUCCUCCUCCAAUCUCCUCUGACUUGAUCGUCGGAGGGCCCCCACUACCCCAGUGGUGGUGCGAGGCUUGCUUGCAGGUUUCCCGGUGGAAGGUGGAGCGUAACCAACACCAACCAAGACAACUCAGACGGAACACCGUUCACACCGCUGUGUCAAUC
rnacentral:lncRNA from 1 species